rnacentral:rRNA from 1 species
UACGAAGGGGGCUAGCGUUGCUCGGAAUCACUGGGCGUAAAGCGCACGUAGGCGGAUCUUUAAGUCAGGGGUGAAAUCCUGGAGCUCAACUCCAGAACUGCCUUUGAUACUGGGUGUCUCGAGUCCGGAAGAGGUGAGUGGAAUUCCGAGUGUAGAGGUGAAAUUCGUAGAUAUUCGGAGGAACACCAGUGGCGAAGGCGGCUCACUGGUCCGGUACUGACGCCUGAGGUGCGAAAGCGUGGGGAGCAAACAGG